ACGGGACCCGCACAAGCGGUGGAGCAUGUGGUUUAAUUCGACGAUACGCGAAGAACCUUACCUGGCCUUGACAUACUAAAAAGCUUUAAGAGAUUAGAGUGUGCUAGCUUGCUAGAAUUUAGAUACAGGUGCUGCACGGCUGUCGUCAGCUCGUGUCGUGAGAUGUGGGUUAAGUCCCGCAACGAGCGCAACCCUCGUGUUUAGUUGCUAACAGUUCGGCUGAGAACUCUAAACAGACUGCCUACGCAAGUAGGAGGAAGGUGAGGACGACGUCAAGUCAUCAUGGCCCUUACGGCCAGGGCUACACACGUGCUACAAUGGGGUAUACAAAGAGCAGCGAUACGGUGACGUGGAGCAAAUCUAGAAAAUGCCUCUCAGUUCGGAUUGUAGUCUGCAACUCGACUACAUGAAGUUGGAAUCGCUAGUAAUCGUAGAUCAGCAAUGCUACGGUGAAUACGUUCCCGGGUCUU
rnacentral:rRNA from 1 species